GAUGAACGCUGGCGGCGUGCUUAACACAUGCAAGUCGAACGGCAAAGCCCAAGUUUGCCUGGGUCCUCGAGUGGCGCACGGGUGAGUCACAUGUGUGUGCUCUGCCCUGCACUUCGAGAUACCCCUGGGAAACUGGGUAUAAUACCGGAUAGGCCGAUGGCUUCGAUGCAGUUGUUGAAAGUUUCUCGGUGUUGGUUGAGCGCGCGGCCUAUCAGCUCGUUGGUGGGGUAAGGGCGUACCAAGGCGGCGACGGCUAGCCGGCCUGCGGGGGUGUACGGCCACAAUGGGACUGCGGGACGGCCCAGACUCCUACGUGGGGCAGCAGUGGAGAAUGUUGCACAAUAGGCGCAAGCCGGAUGCAGCGACGCCGCGUGGGGGAUGACGGCCUUCGGGUGGUAAGCGCCUUGCGCUAGGUACGAAGCGCAAGUGACGGUACCUGGAGAAGAAGCACCGGCUAACUACGUG
rnacentral:rRNA from 1 species